AUGAACGCUGGCGGCGUGCUUAACACAUGCAAGUCGAACGAAUCUAUCGCCUGACUAGCAAUAGAAGGGUGGUAGGUUAGUGGCGCACGGGUGCGUAACACGUGGGUGACCUGCCCUGGAGUGGGGAAUAACUAUCCGAAAGGAUAGCUAAUACCGCAUGUGAUCUGUCAUUCGUUUGAUAGAUCAGAGGCUCGUAAGAGUCGCUCCUGGAUGGGCCCGCGGCCGAUUAGGUAGUUGGUGGGGUAAUGGCCUACCAAGCCGAUGAUCGGUAGGGGGCGUGAGAGCGUGACCACCCACACUGGCACUGACACACGGGCCAGACUCCUACGGGAGGCAGCAGUGAGGAAUAUUGCACAAUGGGCGAAAGCCUGAUGCAGCAACGCCGCGUGGGUGAUGAAGGCCUUCGGGUCGUAAAGCCCUUUUCCAAGGGAAGAGCAAGGACGGUACCUUGGGAAUAAGCCACGGCUAACUACGU
rnacentral:rRNA from 1 species